UCCUACGGGAGGCAGCAGUGGGGAAUAUUGGACAAUGGGCGAAAGCCUGAUCCAGCAAUGCCGCGUGUGUGAAGAAGGCCUUCGGGUUGUAAAGCACUUUAAGUUGGGAAGAAAAAACUUUGGCUAACAUCCAAAGUCUUGACGGUACCGACAGAAUAAGCACCGGCUAACUCUGUGCCAGCAGCCGCGGUAAUACAGAGGGUGCUAGCGUUAAUCGGAUUUACUGGGCGUAAAGCGUGCGUAGGUGGUUGGGUAAGUCGGAUGUGAAAGCCCUGGGCUUAACCUGGGAAUUGCAUUCGAUACUGCUCGACUCGAAUUCGGUAGAGGGAGGCGGAACUCCAGGUGUAGCGGUGAAAUGCGUAGAUAUCUGGAAGAACACCGAUGGCGAAGGCAACCUCCUGGGCCUGAAUUGACACUGAGGCACGAAAGCGUGGGUAGCAAACAGGAUUUGAUACCCUGGUAGUCCACGCCGUAAACGAUGAGAACUUGACGUUGGUUUGCCUAGCAAAUCGGUGUCGUAGCUAACGCGAUAAGUUCUCCGCCUGG
rnacentral:rRNA from 1 species